rnacentral:rRNA from 1 species
UACGGAGGGUGCAAGCGUUGUCCGGAUUCAUUGGGUUUAAAGGGUGCGCAGGCGGGACAUUAAGUCAGGGGUGAAAGACGGUUGCUCAACAAUCGCAGUGCCUUUGAUACUGGUGUUCUUGGGUAACCUUGAGGUAGGCGGAAUGGGUGGUGUAGCGGUGAAAUGCAUAGAUACCACCCAGAACUCCGAUUGCGAAGGCAGCCUACUGGAGGUCAACCGACGCUCAGGCACGAAAGCGUGGGGAGUCAAACAGG